UACAGAGGUCUCAAGCGUUGUUCGGAAUUACUGGGCGUAAAGGGCUCGUAGGCGGCCUGCUAAGUCAUACGUGAAAUCCCUCGGCUCAACCGAGGAACUGCGUCUGAUACUGGUUGGCUUGAAUUCGGGAGAGGGAUGCGGAAUUCCAGGUGUAGCGGUGAAAUGCGUAGAUAUCUGGAGGAACACCGGUGGCGAAGGCGGCAUCCUGGACCGAGAUUGACGCUGAUGCGCGAAAGCCAGGGGAGCAAACGGGG
rnacentral:rRNA from 1 species